rnacentral:rRNA from 1 species
UACGGAGGGUGCAAGCGUUUAUCCGGAUUCACUGGGUUUAAAGGGUGCGUAGGUGGGAAUGUAAGUCAGUGGUGAAAUCUCCGUGCUUAACAUGGAAACUGCCAUUGAUACUAUGUUUCUUGAAUUUUCUGGAGGUAAGCGGAAUAUGUCAUGUAGCGGUGAAAUGCUUAGAUAUGACAUAGAACACCAAUUGCGAAAGGCAGCUUGCUACAGGGAUAUUGACACUGAGGCACGAAAGCGUGGGGAUCAAACAGG